AUAAAACUACUUUUUUUUCCCAUCUUGCAAGAUGGCGGGUGAAAAAACUGAGAAGCCGGAUACUAAGGAGAAGAAACCCCAAGCCAAGAAGGCUGAUGCUGGUGGCCAGGUUAAGAAGGGGAACCUCAAGGCUAAGACUCCUAAGAAGGGGAAGCCCCGCUGCAGCCAAAACCCUGUCUUUGUCAGAGGGAUUGGCAGGUAUUUCCGGUCAGCCAUGUAUUCCUGAAAAGCCAUGUACAAGAGGAAAUACUCUGCAGCUAAAUCCAGGAUUGAAAAGAAAAAGAAGGAGAAAGUUAUGGCUACUGUCACUAAACCAGUUGGUGGUGACAAGGAUGGUGGUACUCAAGUGGUUAAACUUCACAAAAUGCCUAGAUACUAUCCCACUGAAGACCUGCCUAGAAAGCUGCUGAGCCAUGGCAAGAAACCCUUCAGUCAGCACAGGAGAAAUCUGUGGGCAGAUCUGAAGAGC